rnacentral:rRNA from 1 species
AGAGUUUGAUCCUGGCUCAGGAUGAACGCUGGCGGUCUGCUUAACACAUGCAAGUCGAACGCAAGUAGAAAUACUUGAGUGGCGGACGGGUGAGUAACGCGUGAGAAUCUGCCUUCUGGUCGGGGACAACCACGGGAAACGGUGGCUAAUACCGGGUGAGCCUGCGGGUAAAAGAGAAAUUGCCAGAAGAGGAGCUCGCGUCUGAUUAGCUAGUUGGUGGGGUAAAGGCUCACCAAGGCAUCGAUCAGUAGCUGGUCUGAGAGGACGAUCAGCCACACUGGGACUGAGACACGGCCCAGACUCCUACGGGAGGCAGCAGUGGGGAAUUUUCCGCAAUGGGCGAAAGCCUGACGGAGCAAGACCGCGUGAGGGAAGAAGGCUCUUGGGUCGUAAACCUCUUUUGUUAGGGAAGAACACAAUGACGGUACCUAACGAAUCAGCCUCGGCUAACUCCGUGCCAGCAGCCGCGGUAAUACGGAGGAGGCAAGCGUUAUCCGGAAUUAUUGGGCGUAAAGCGUCCGCAGGUGGCGAUUCAAGUCUGCGGUUAAAGACUGGGGCUUAACCCUGGAAAGGCCGUGGAAACUGAAAAGCUAGAGUGCAGUAGGGGUAGAGGGAAUUCCCGGUGUAGCGGUGAAAUGCGUAGAGCUCGGGAAGAACAUCGGUGGCGAAAGCGCUCUGCUGGACUGCAACUGACACUCAGGGACGAAAGCUAGGGGAGCGAAUGGGAUUAGAUACCCCAGUAGUCCUAGCCGUAAACGAUGGAUACUAGGUGUGGCUUGUAUCGACCCGAGCCGUGCCGUAGCUAACGCGUUAAGUAUCCCGCCUGGGGAGUACGCACGCAAGUGUGAAACUCAAAGGAAUUGACGGGGGCCCGCACAAGCGGUGGAGUAUGUGGUUUAAUUCGAUGCAACGCGAAGAACCUUACCAGGGCUUGACAUGUCCGGAAUCUUAGGGAAACUUAAGAGUGCCUUCGGGAGCCGGAACACAGGUGGUGCAUGGCUGUCGUCAGCUCGUGUCGUGAGAUGUUGGGUUAAGUCCCGCAACGAGCGCAACCCUCGUCUUUAGUUGCCAGCAUUCAGUUGGGCACUCUAGAGAGACUGCCGGUGACAAACCGGAGGAAGGUGGGGAUGACGUCAAGUCAGCAUGCCCCUUACGUCCUGGGCGACACACGUACUACAAUGCGACGGACAAAGGGCAGCUACCCAGCGAUGGCAAGCGAAUCCCAGAAACCGUGGCUCAGUUCAGAUCGCAGGCUGCAACUCGCCUGCGUGAAGGAGGAAUCGCUAGUAAUUGCAGGUCAGCAUACCGCAGUGAAUUCGUUCCCGGGCCUUGUACACACCGCCCGUCACACCAUGGAAGUUGGCCACGCCCGAAGUCGUUACCCUAACCGCUUGCGGAGGGGGACGCCGAAGGCAGGGCUGAUGACUGGGGUGAAGUCGUAACAAGGUAGCCGUACCGGAAGGUGUGGCUGGAUCACCUCCUUU